AUGGGGCUGAUUCAACGGUGAAGUCAUGUAAACUAGUGUCGUACACUCAUCGCCUGGAACAUAUUACUGGAGACUUUGAAAUCCCAAAUGGAACGACUAAAGCCGCCUGGGUAUCCAUUUUUCAUCGGCGUAAAAUUGAAGCAGCUGUCGACAGGCUAAGCGACCGUCUGGCAACGAAACUUAGUGCCGUUAUCAGUGAAGCACUUAUGAUGAUGUAUCCAUCAGUAUAUUUGGAAUAUUUUUCGAUGAGGAAAAGUAAAAAACGCGGGCUCGAUCCAAGAUUAUGAUAACCUUCACGUUUAUGCCUGCAAACCUAAUACACGAUGUCGAACUUCGAAUCUUGCCUAUACAGCCAUUGUGACUGCUUUCAUCAGGAGAUCUACGCGUCCCCGAUAGGCAACAGUGGGUUCGACGAGGUGCCAAAGUGACUAAAAGGUUUAUGCUUGAAAGAUAACCUACGAUAUUGCUCAAAGUUUGACUAUCUAACAGAGCAAAUUUCGGAAAGAAACUAUGGCUUCGACUAGAAAUGGCACUUUUACUUCACUCCAAAUGUUAAAUUGACAAGCUCCACUAAUAACGCCCAUACUUAGCGCUUAAUUGUACAAUACUUA